AAGGUUUGCAGGGAAAAGCAAUCUGCCAAAGGAACCGGUGGAGGCCCUGGAUAUAGGGCCGAAUUAACGGACUUUGAACAGAUGCUUUAUGCAAGGAUGGGUGAUGCCGUUGUGGUUGGCCUGGAUGUCCCAGCAGACACUAUGGAUUUUAGAGAGCAAGAAGAUGAGGGACGUCAGGAAGAGGAGAUUGAUGCACAAGAGGAUCAACCUUUGGAAAAUGAAUUCACCUCACAAGACCAAGAACCCUCCACAUCCACAGUACAAAGAGAAGAAGGGGAGAGUGUUCGUGCUUUACUACAAUCCAUG